GACGAACGCUGGCGGCGUGCUUAACACAUGCAAGUCGAACGGAAAGGCCCUGCUUUUGUGGGGUGCUCGAGUGGCGAACGGGUGAGUAACACGUGAGUAACCUGCCCUUGACUUUGGGAUAACUUCAGGAAACUGGGGCUAAUACCGGAUAGGAGCUCCUGCUGCAUGGUGGGGGUUGGAAAGUUUCGGCGGUUGGGGAUGGACUCGCGGCUUAUCAGCUUGUUGGUGGGGUAGUGGCUUACCAAGGCUUUGACGGGUAGCCGGCCUGAGAGGGUGACCGGCCACAUUGGGACUGAGAUACGGACCAGAAUCCUACGGGAGGCAGCAGUGGGGAAUAUUGCACAAUGGGCGGAAGCCUGAUGCAGCAGCGCCGCGUGCGGGAUGACGGCCUUCGGGUUGUAAACCGCUUUCGCCUGUGACGAAGCGUGAGUGACGGUAAUGGGUAAAGAAGCACCGGCUAACUACGUG
rnacentral:rRNA from 1 species